rnacentral:rRNA from 1 species
GUCCGUCGGCCGGCUUAGCAUAUGAACGUCGAGCGAUAGCACAGUGAGCUUGCUCCUGUAGUGACGAGCGGCGGACGGGUGAGUAAUGUCUGGGAAACUGCCUGAUGGAGGGGGAUAACUACUGGAAACGGUAGCUAAUACCGCAUAACGUCGCAAGACCAAAGAGGGGGACCUUCGGGCCUCUUGCCAUCAGAUGUGCCCAGAUGGGAUUAGCUAGUAGGUGGGGUAACGGCUCACCUAGGCGACGAUCCCUAGCUGGUCUGAGAGGAUGACCAGCCACACUGGAACUGAGACACGGUCCAGACUCCUACGGGAGGCAGCAGUGGGGAAUAUUGCACAAUGGGCGCAAGCCUGAUGCAGCCAUGCCGCGUGUAUGAAGAAGGCCUUCGGGUUGUAAAGUACUUUCAGCGGGGAGGAAGGUGUUGAGGUUAAUAACCUCAGCAAUUGACGUUACCCGCAGAAGAAGCACCGGCUAACUCCGUGCCAGCAGCCGCGGUAAUACGGAGGGUGCAAGCGUUAAUCGGAAUUACUGGGCGUAAAGCGCACGCUGGCGGUCUGUCAAGUCCGAUGUGAAAUCCCCGGGCUCAACCUGGGAACUGCAUUCGAAACUGGCAGGCUAGAGUCCUGUAGACGGGGGUAGAAUUCCAUGGGGUAGCGGCUGAAAUGCGCAGACACCUGGAGGAAAACCGGUCGCGAAGGCGGCCCCCGGGACAAAGAACAGACGCUCAGGUAUCGAAAGCGUGGUUGGAGCAAACAGGAUUAGAUACACUGGUUAGUCCACGCCAGGAAACGACUGUCCGACUUGGAGGGUUGUGCCCUUAGAGGCGUGGCUUCCGGAGCUAACGCGUGAAGUACGACCGCCUGGGGAGUACGAGCCUGCAAGGUUAAAACUCAAAGGAAUUCACGGGGGCCCGCACAAGCGGUGGAGUACAUGUGGUGUUAACUCGAUGCAACGCGAAGAACACUUACCUACUCUUCGACAUCCACGAGCAUACUUUCCAGAGAUGCGAUUGGUGCCUUCGGGAACUCUGAGACAGGUGCUGCAUGGCUGUCGUCAGCUCGUGUUGUGAAAUGUUGGGUUAAGUCCCGCAACGAGCGCAACCCUUAUCCUUUGUUGCCAGCGGUCCGGCCGGGAACUCAAAGGAGACUGCCAGUGAUAAACUGGAGGAAGGUGGGGAUGACGUCAAGUCAUCAUGGCCCUUACGAGUAGGGCUACACACGUGCUACAAUGGCGCAUACAAAGAGAAGCGACCUCGCGAGAGCAAGCGGACCUCAUAAAGUGCGUCGUAGUCCGGAUUGGAGUCUGCAACUCGACUCCAUGAAGUCGGAAUCGCUAGUAAUCGUAGAUCAGAAUGCUACGGUGAAUACGUUCCCGGGCCUUGUACACACCGCCCGUCACACCAUGGGAGUGGGUUGCAAAAGAAGUAGGUAGCUUAACCUUCGGGAGGGCGCUCAGCACUUUGUGAUUCAUGACUGGGGUGACGUCG